AUCUAGCUGACGAGUCACAAAUAAGACGAAAUACACGUCAAACUGGAU
rfam:Schistosoma margrebowiei strain Zambia genome assembly, scaffold: SMRZ_contig0000315